rnacentral:rRNA from 1 species
AUUGAACGCUGGCGGCAGGCCUAACACAUGCAAGUCGAAUGGUAACAGGAAACAGCUUGCUGCUUCGCUGACGAGUGGCGGACGGGUGAGUAAUGUCUGGGAAACUGCCUGAUGGAGGGGGAUAACUACUGGAAACGGUAGCUAAUACCGCAUAACGUCGCAAGACCAAAGAGGGGGACCUUCGGGCCUCUUGCCAUCAGAUGUGCCCAGAUGGGAUUAGCUAGUAGGUGGGGUAACGGCUCACCUAGGCGACGAUCCCUAGCUGGUCUGAGAGGAUGACCAGCCACACUGGAACUGAGACACGGUCCAGACUCCUACGGGAGGCAGCAGUGGGGAAUAUUGCACAAUGGGCGCAAGCCUGAUGCAGCCAUGCCGCGUGUAUGAAGAAGGCCUUCGGGUUGUAAAGUACUUUCAGCGGGGAGGAAGGGAGUAAAGUUAAUACCUUUGCUCAUUGACGUUACCCGCAGAAGAAGCACCGGCUAACUCCGUGCCAGCAGCCGCGGUAAUACGGAGGGUGCAAGCGUUAAUCGGAAUUACUGGGCGUAAAGCGCACGCAGGCGGUUUGUUAAGUCAGAUGUGAAAUCCCCGGGCUCAACCUGGGAACUGCAUCUGAUACUGGCAAGCUUGAGUCUCGUAGAGGGGGGUAGAAUUCCAGGUGUAGCGGUGAAAUGCGUAGAGAUCUGGAGGAAUACCGGUGGCGAAGGCGGCCCCCUGGACGAAGACUG